ACAUGGCAUUGAAACUGAAUAGCUUGAGUGUAGGAGAGGAAGUGGAUUCCUAGUGUAGCGGUGAAAUGCGUAGAUACUAGGAGGAACACCAGUGGCGAAGGCGACUUCCUGGCCUAUAACUGACGCUGAGGCGCGAAAGCGUGGGGAGCAAACAGGAUUAGAUACCCUGGUAGUCCACGCCGUAAACGAUGGGUGCUAGGUGUGGGAGGUAUCGACCCCUUCCGUGCCAUAGUUAACGCAAUAAGCACCCCGCCUGGGGAGUACGGUCGCAAGACUGAAACUCAAAGGAAUUGACGGGGGCCCGCACAAGCAGCGGAGCGUGUGGUUUAAUUCGACGCAACGCGAAGAACCUUACCAAGGCUUGACAUCCCUCGCUAUACGCAGAAAAGCGUAGUUCCCUUCGGGGACGAGGAGACAGGUGGUGCACGGUUGUCGUCAGCUCGUGUCGUGAGAUGUUGGGUUAAGUCCCGCAACGAGCGCAACCCUUGUACUUAGUUGCCAUCAUUAAGUUGGGCACUCUAAGUAGACUGCCGGUGAUAAACCGGAGGAAGGUGGGGAUGACGUCAAAUCAUCAUGCCCCUUAUGUCUUGGGCUACACACGCGCUACAAUGGUCUGUACAGAGGGCUGCAACGUCGCGAGGCGAAGCGAAUCCCAUAAAACAGAUCUCAGUUCGGAUUGCAGGCUGAAACUCGCCUGCAUGAAGUCGGAGUUGCUAGUAAUCGCGAAUCAGAACGUCGCGGUGAAUGCGUUCCCGGGCCUUGCACACACCGCCCGU
rnacentral:rRNA from 1 species